ensembl:lncRNA
AGUCUCCUUCAUCAGAGAAAGCAUCAAAUUUUGAUAGCUCUAAGACUGAAGAAGUUCCCUUGAAGCCAAAACCUUCCACAGUGAUGUCAAAUCAAAAACUAUCAUUGCCACCACCACAGAAUUUACUUUUUAACAAGCCUCAAAUGCCAGUAGACACUCUUUUUUGUAUUAAACCUAUGGAUUUCUCUGGAACCUUGAGCAAAAAAGACAAAGGUAAUAAUGAGAAAACUCCAACAGAUACUGAUGCUCAAAGGUCUAUUCAGGAUAUCAUUGACUUUACCACAACAAAACUAAAAGUUAAAAAGCAGAAUGAAGAGACUUUUCACAUGGGUGAGACAGCUGCUGUUGAUCUUACUGUUGAGUUAAAUGAGGAAGUGAAAGAAUUAAAUGUCACAUUUCCAGCUCUAGAGGUCAGAAAUCUUUCCAUGACAAUGUCUGAUGUGCCUCUGGGAACUGUUUCUGCUCCAGCCUCUCCGAGAAGAAGACCACAGUACUUUCCUCCAGACAGUGGAAUUCCCAUAAAAAAAGACGUCUGUGGCAAUAAAGCACCGAUAUCACCAAAACAAAAACCCCAGCUUGCAAGACGAGCCUCAGAUCAGGUGUCCCAGGCAAGCAGUAUUCAAGUAAUGCCUGAGAGAGUCCUGGUGGAUUCACCCUUAAAGGUAGCAUCAAAGUCGGCCUCAACACCAGUUAAACUUGAUCGCAUUGAAGGAGGCCCAAUUAAGCAAAUUUCCAAACCCAGCCAUGUACCGACUGCCAUACAUCAUGCACCAUCACCUCAUAUAUGUCCUGAGAUAAAGAAAAGCCCAGCAUUGCACAUAUCUGCUCAAAAUAAACAAAUUGGCCUCACAAGGCAGACUUCAUUUGCUAGUGAAUCUAUGAGAAUGAGUCACAUGACUGGACAGUCAUAUAAUGAGAACACUGCUCCAGCUAAUUCAGUCAAAGCAACACUGGAUAUGACUUUAAAGACAGCCAAUAAGCAUAUGGAGACGGUGAUCACUGAGACUUCAGCAACUGAAGCAGUACCCCUUGUAAGAAGCAGACGGGCAUCGGUCACUGAAAUGAAUACAGAUUCUUUUGGUUUGCCUUUGCUUGUAGAGCCAUCAGCACCAGAGAUGAAUUUUAUCCUACAAAGGCAUCAAUCAUUACCCCGGCUCUUAUGUAGCGAAUCCACGUUUUUCCAGGAAGGUCCUGUUUUAUGCAGCCAAAACAAUAUUUGCAACAGAACUGCAGGUUUGCCAGUGCAUCCUUCUCAUUAUCAUCAAAAAGCAACUGCUCCAGCAAAUGCAAUAAAAGCUACAUUAGAUAUGUCCGCUAAAUCAACUACUCAUUCAACUGUGGUUACUGAGGCAAUUCAAA